GUGAGGAAUAUUGGUCAAUGGACGAGAGUCUGAACCAGCCAAGUCGCGUGAAGGAAGACGGUUCUAUGAAUUGUAAACUUCUUUUGUGCAGGAAUAAAGUGGGUUACGUGUAACCUUUUGUAUGUACUGUACGAAUAAGGAUCGGCUAACUCCGUGCCAGCAGCCGCGGUAAUACGGAGGAUCCGAGCGUUAUCCGGAUUUAUUGGGUUUAAAGGGUGCGUAGGUGGAUUGAUAAGUCAGCGGUGAAAGUUUGCAGCUUAACUGUAAAAUUGCCGUUGAAACUGUCGGUCUUGAGUGCAAAUGAGGUAGGCGGAAUGUGUUGUGUAGCGGUGAAAUGCUUAGAUAUAACACAGAACUCCGAUUGCGAAGGCAGCUUACUGGGAUGCAACUGACACUGAUGCACGAAAGCGUGGGUAUCAAACAGGAUUAGAUACUCGUGUAGUCC
rnacentral:rRNA from 1 species